CUAAGACUGUUGGUGUCCCGGGCCCUGCGCUGUCUUCAGGCUUCUGCUGCCCAUGGGGAAGGAGGCAGAGAAGACAGUGACACUAUGGACGUGUGCCCACAGGCGAGCCAUGGAGGUGGAGGCCCUGCUCCUAGAGCGAGCAGCCUGUCCAGACACUGGGGGGCCUGACCAUUCUGACAGCUGACCGGAGCCUCCUCCUAGAGGCACAUGGUUGUCAGGGGACCCUACUGAGCCAUCUGGAGUCCAGGAUGACAGCAAUUGGCUCCCAGGUGCAGACCCGGCUGGAAGAGAAGCUCUGUCACCUAGAAGACGAUGCAAGAGACAUUCAGACCCUGAGCCUUUGGCCACGCUGGAGGAGGCCUACUUGGAGGUGAUGCUAUGGCCUCUAGAUGAGGUGUGGCAAGAACGAGCUGAGGAGGCCAGGCAGUGGCUGCAGGUCUGGCUGCUCAGGCUGCCAGGGAGUUGGAGGCUAAGGCCCAUCCAGGUGACCCUGGGAGCUGUGAUGGAUACCCUGGAGCUGGGCAGCACUGCCACACAGGAGGUUCUCAUUUGACGGUGGGAAACAGGCAUGGGGUCUGCACAGCGCUGGUGACAUUCUAGUCGUUUUGCAGAAGACCCAGCUGUGGGAAGGACACUGUUGGCAGCCUGGAUGUGUCCAGGAUGUGUUCGGUGGCACAUGCUGCAGGAAAGCAGAUUGAUGAGGAGACACACGAGUGAUGGUAAGCUUGAAGUUGAUGGAGAAUGAUUGCUUUUCCACCUUUCUUGUUGAGGCAGGCUCUCUCAAUCCAUCCCAGAGUUCGAGGAUAAGGCUAGUCAUACCAGGUGACUUGUUCUGGGGAUAUUCCCUCUGAGGACGAAGUAACAAGUUCUGUCGUGCUUGCCUCACAUUCAUGUGUGGUUCUGAGUCUCUGACCGUGAGUCCUUGUGCUUGCAUUGCAAGGGCCUUAACCGCUGAGCCAUCUCCCCAGCCCAGGGGUGAGCUUCGAGCAGGCAGUUCUGGGUAGGGCACACAAUCGGUGCAGAGCAGGGGAAGAGGGUAUUGCAGAGCCAUGGCACCUGUUUGAAGGACAGUAAGGAAGCCAGCAGGAUUUGAGCAAGCUCCUUCUCAGGCCGUGGCUUCUGCUUGGAGACGGGCACACACCAGGGUUUUGGCCCAGGAAAAAGUGGAUCUCUGUGUAUUGCAAACGUUCAGUUCCCGUUGGCUCCCAUGCUGAGGGACCUGGCAGCUCAGGCUGCCUGGGAGUUGGCGGCUAAGGGCCAUCCUGGUGGCCCUGGACAGAGUGCACGGCUGUCUGGGGUUGCUGGAACAAUGUCAGCGUGGAAGGGAUGAGAGAGUCAGAAUCCAGCUGUGUUUUUAAUGUCAGCCUGGAGAGGACUGGACUCAGCUGGAUGUAGGUGGUAAAAGAGGAGUGAGAGAUGACUUCAAAGUAUCUUUGGCCUCAACAGCUGGAAGGACGGAGGUCCCUCUAUAGACAAGGGACAAACACAAGGGCUUCUGGGUAUGUCUAACCAGUGCAAUGUAAGCAGAACUGUAGUGGCUUGAACCACAGUGGAGGGCUGAGGUAGGAGUGCUGGCCCUCUGGGGCUGUCAGAUGAGAAGAGAUUAACCAUGGAGAAGUGUCAGCACAGGCCUCCCAGGUAGGAGCCGCCAAUGCUUGCAGUUCCCGUAUUGCCCAGCAGGGGGCAGCAUGGUGCCUCCUGGUAUGGGAAACUUGGACCUAACUCUUGGUUGGAUUCCUACUCUGCAAACCUGACAGGGACUAUGUAGAACAAAUGCUUCAGCAGAUGGCACUGAGUGGAAAGAGUAGGGUCUCUCGUGACAGUGGUGGCUUGUCUCUGAAGCUCUAUGGUGACCAUUCCCAGUGCCUAAACCCCUUCCACUGUAGCCCAGACUUUCCUCACUCUUUCUGACCCCAGGUUUACUGAGCAAGCGUCUGUUCUACAGCCUGAGAAAGUUCUAGAGUCUCUCCCUAGCCUGUCCCUCAGACGAGCCCCCUUUGGCUGGGUUCCUGUUCUAGUCCAUUCAGCAUCACCUUACUGUGCCUUCCUGUAUACCCAUGACAAGAACCCUGGCUUGACAAGCCUCCCUUGGUGUCUGUGCCCAUCCCUAACCCCACUGCCCCCUGGAGCAGGGUACACAAUCAGACAGCCACGGCCAUACUGAAGGACCUUGGUCCAUCCUAUAAGGAGACUUCUGCAGACAGGGGCAAGCCCUCUCUUAGGGGACAACCUCUGCGAUUGCCUUCUAGCCUAUGAUAUCACUGUCCUUCAGUGAGCCAGCUCCACUUGCUGGGGGAUC
rnacentral:sRNA from 1 species